rnacentral:rRNA from 1 species
AUUGAACGCUGGCGGCAUGCUUUACACAUGCAAGUCGAACGGCAGCGCGGGCUUCGGCCUGGCGGCGAGUGGCGAACGGGUGAGUAAUGCAUCGGAACGUGCCCAGUAGUGGGGGAUAGCCCGGCGAAAGCCGGAUUAAUACCGCAUACGACCUGAGGGUGAAAGCGGGGGACCGAAAGGCCUCGCGCUAUUGGAGCGGCCGAUGUCGGAUUAGCUAGUUGGUGGGGUAGAGGCUUACCAAGGCGACGAUCCGUAGCUGGUCUGAGAGGACGACCGGCCACAUUGGGACUGAGGUACGGCCCAGAGUGCAACGGGAGGCAGCAGUGGGGAAUAUUGCACAAUGGGCGGAAGCCUGAUGCAGCAACGCCGCGUGCGGGAUGACGGCCUUCGGGGUGUAAACCGCUUUCGCCUGUGACGAAGCGGGAGUGACGGUAAUGGGUAAAGAAGCACCGGCUAACUACGUG